rnacentral:ncRNA from 1 species
AGCUAACCGCAAGGAGGCAGCGACCUAAGGUAGGGUCAGCGAUUGGGGUGAAGUCGUAACAAGGUAGCCGUAGGAGAACCUGCGGCUGGAUCACCUCCUUU